GAUGAACGCUAGCGACAGGCUUAACACAUGCAAGUCGAGGGGCAGCAUAGAAGUAGCAAUACUUUGGUGGCGACCGGCGCACGGGCGAGUAACGCGUAUGCAACCUACCUAUCAGCGGGGGAUAACCCGGCGAAAGUCGGACUAAUACCGCAUAAAACAGGGGCACCGCAGGGUGAUAUUUGUUAAAGAUUAAUUGCUGAUAGAUGGGCAUGCGUUCCAUUAGGUAGUUGGUGAGGUAAUGGCUCACCAAGCCGACGAUGGAUAGGGGAACUGAGAGGUUGGUCCCCCACACUGGUACUGAGACACGGACCAGACUCCUACGGGAGGCAGCAGUGAGGAAUAUUGGUCAAUGGGCGAGAGCCUGAACCAGCCAAGUCGCGUGAAGGAAGAAGGAUCUAUGGUUCGUAAACUUCUUUUGCAGGGGAAUAAAGUGGAGGACGUGUCCUCUUUUGUAUGUACCCUGAGAAUAAGGAUCGGCUAACUCCGUGCCAGCCGCCGCGGUAAGAC
rnacentral:rRNA from 1 species